ensembl:misc_RNA Metazoa_SRP Metazoan signal recognition particle RNA
GCCAGGCGCGGUGGCUCACGCCUGUAAUCCCAGCACUUUGGGAGGCAGAGGCGGGCGGAUCACCUGAGGUCAGGAGUUCGAGACCAGCCUGGCCAACAUGGUGAAACCCCGUCUCUA